CGCAGCUGCCUCUGCCGACCCCUCCAACCUCGCUGCCUCUGAAGCAUACUACUUCACUGUGUCCUCCUUUCCCUAACCCCUUUCAACUUGACCGUAAAAGUAAGGCCCUUGUGGAAUCCGAAUAUCCGAGGAAAUUGAGCAAAUUUGCCGAUUGUUGGUUUGUUGCCCAAUCUUGAAGGAUUCGCCGUUCUAGAUUCUUCUUGGUAGAUCUGUACUUACAAUUUUAGUAGAUGAAAUUCCCCUUUCGUUGCUUCCCGUUCUGGGUCUUCGCAGGUAUAGAUCUGCAAUUUGAUGUCUUCAAGAUUGGGCAAUGAACCAUCAGUCGUCAUAUUUUUCCAUGAGAUACCGUGGUAAGACAAGAGUUUGGAUAACAUCCAAAAUCACUGGAGGGAAUGAAUAUGAAUAUCUAUGUUCAAGCUGAUAGUGACAAGAUUGUGAAUCCUGUGCCCAUGGGUUAUCACUUUUUGCCAAGGUAUUUCCCUUUUUGCUUCUGUUCAUGGAUUUUGUGAGAGAUUUAUGUGUUGGAUGAUAAAUGGAAAAAGAUUAAGGACUCAAAACUUGUAAGUAGAAGUAUUAGGGUAAAUGAAAGUAAAAACACCAAAACUUGUUCCACCAACAUAAACCACAACUCAUGUAAAAAGACUUUAAAAAGAGUUCCACCAUUUUACUUUUUGCACAAGCUGAGAGAUACAACUUUAGAUCCAGGAUAAAAAAUGUUGUUGGUAACUGAACUUAUUGUCGAAAGAUUUAUGGUAUUUACGAACUUUUUUUUUUCUAAAAGUGGUCUUAAAUUUUGUUAUUUGUUUCAAUUUGGUCACUUCAUUAGAUUUUGUUAGUUGUUUUAGCAAAAUGUCUCGUGUGGAAGACAUGAAUAUGAUAUGGAUGCAUUUUGAUGUUAAAAUCAUGUCUUGUUGUGCCAACAGGACAAAUUGGAGGCUAUAAACACAAUGCACUCAUAUAUGUACAGAACUCUCUUGAUUUCUGUUCUAUAUACCUUCUAGAAACCCCCUCCAGCUUUAUAUUCCCUAAUUGGCAAAGUUAGCUAGAGACUACAGUCACAAAAAAAUGAUUUGUCCGGGCAAUGACCACUUUGGGAUUCAAGAAAUACAUCAAGCAGUUCUAAAUUCCACAUUUGGUUCUAAGUGACUUAAAUGAAAUAAAAACUAAACUUUUGUGAUCACUUUGGUAAAUAACAUAGUUUGUUGAUUCGCUAAUUAACUUUAACUUCAGAUAACGAAGAUUUUUACCCUUUAGAUUCUUCUUGGAUGGACUCGAACUUGGAGACCUAGAGCUUGUUUGGUACGGCUAAAAAACCAAUUAAAAUCAUUUUUUGACCGUUAUUUCACUAUUACAGCUAUCAUUUUUGAAUUCUUCUAUGGACCCACUUUAUUUCUAACGGUCGAAAAAUCAAUUAUCAAAAUCUCUACUUAACAAGCACCUAAAAAACCUGCUUGUUCCACUUGAAUUUUCUUCGCUGAGUUUGCAACAGAUUUGCUAGAUCAAUGAUUUUGAGUCUCAUAUAUUUUAAAAAUUCUAGAGGGAUCUCCUCUAGUUUGGAAAACUCUUUAUUGAUAGGGUGUUUAAGGGUAGAGAAGUGGAUUUCAUAAACUAUCCAGUGCUCCAUAUAUGUUAUUUCAAGUAUUAAGCAUUGUAGUUGACAAAACUCCCUUCUGUUGCUUCCCACUUUGGAUCGUGAGAUGCAUACCCCUGUCAUCAUUCUGUUUAUUAGAUUAUUAGUCCCGUCAAAGAACAUGCGUGUAUUAUCAAGAAUUUGUCCUCUAGAUUGUGAUGGCUGCUAUGAAUAAUUGUUACCUUGUUUUGCAUUACCAUUAAUAAGAAAAUUUGAUGGAUACCGAGUUUGGACAGCCAUUAAAUAUAUGAUGAAAAGUGAGAGAGAGAAAUGGAGAUAUACAUGAAUACAAGGCGAAAAAAUCAAUGAAUUGAAAAAUAUUGAUGAAGGAGAGUAAAAAACAAAGUCUAUUUUUCUGUUAAGUGAAUUUUGAGUAGAAAAAAAUAAAUGAACCUUGUAAUGCACAAGGUAGAGAAGGCGAUGGCCACCAAUGCUAAGAAGUCGGCCUAUUUCAUAAUAAUAAUCAAACUCUGUGGUGCUUGGACUCUUCAUUCCUGUCGGAGUGCACGUAUCGACACGGGUACGGAAUACGGGUUGGAUUCUUCAAGCUUUUAAUGGACCCGGCUAGAAAUCUUUAGAAAAUUCGUAGAUUUACUUUAGCGGCUGUAUGGUCUAGAGAUGGAAGAUGUCUAGAAAGAAAUAACAAGUUGGCGUUGUUGGUCUUUGGCCCAAAACAAAUCUGCAAUGGCUGUUUGUAUAUGUUCACUUCAAACCCUCGAAAUCGAGAAGAAGAAGAAGACGAAGGGUACGUGAGAGGAGAUUUGGGUUAAAUUGGAGGUGGGCUAAUACUAUGGAUAUGGUUGGGUUUAUUUGGAGCAUGGGCCAUUUUUAAUGUGAAUAUAAGUGGGUAAUAAUAUAAUUGUUUUUAAACCACAUAUAUUUUAGUUUAAUAAAAUGAUACAAUUAAUCAUUUUUUAUUUUUUAUUUUUUAUUUUUUCAAUUCAUAAGAUACUGCAAUAUCAAAGUAAAAAAUCUAAAAAAUAAAAUUGAAAUUUGAAAAACGUAUUAACGUACUCGUGUUCGAAAUUUGGACUCUUUUUAGUUAUAUCUCCAUAUCUCACGUUUUAAAAAAUAAAAGUUCUGACAUUUAGAUACGUAUUCGUACUCGAGUCCAAGCAUUAUAGGUCAAUCUAAUAUAGAGUUAAAUAGAUGCGUAUAGAGUGAGAGCAAUGUUUUAUCUUUGUUUCUGGUGUGAUGUUUCACCUUGUUUAUCACCUAAAUUUAUUUAAGUAGUUGUGGAUUGCUCGCCUUCUUUUGUUUAUGUUUUGAGCAGACAAGUUGGAUGGUCAUAGAGACGAGUACGUAUAGGUCCAUUCUGUUAUAGAGAGAGUGUGUGGGAUAAGAUGUGCACCCAUUAUUUAUUGGCUUCGUAUGAUUUUUCUAUUAUUACCUUUGUCAACUCGCCUGCUGUAGUUUGAAUCCAAAUAUUGGACUCCUCUGCUUUUGGCUGUUGCUUGCACAGGUUUUCAAUGGCUAUGUUUGAUUGCCCAAAAUUUUUGGUGGAAAAUGGAAAACAAAUUCCGUUUCCCACUUUUGACCAAAAUUUUCCUCCCAAUUCAUUUUCCACAUUUCCUUCACACGUUCACAAUUUUCAGGCUUUUGGGAAAUUCAUUUUCUCGUGGAUGAUGGGGUAGGUGGCUUUAUGUUUUUAAUCCUUUUUUUUUUUUUUUUUGGGGCAAUGAGAAUAAAUUCUAGGAACAAUUGUAAAAGAGAAUAUUCCUUAAAUUGAAAAUUUUCAUGUAAAAUAAAGUCAAACGAACACUAAAAUAUAGGUGAUUUUUGGGUUUUUUUUUGUUUUUUGUUUUGGGCGACGGAAACAAAUUUUAGGAACAAUUGUAGAAGUGGAUAUUUCUUAAAUUAACAAUUUUCAUAAAAAAUAAAGUUAAACGAACAUUAGAACACACUUUUAUUUUAACAUUUUUCUGGGGGAAAAUUAUAUCAAUAAAACACUGUUAAUUGACAAUUUUUAGUAAAACAAUUUCUGAGCAAUUCAAUUUAUUAGAAUUCGUUUUCUUUACACUCAAAUUUCAUCUUUACAAU
rnacentral:lncRNA from 1 species